GAAGCAGAGCCUUGGAGGGCGCUCACCGCGCGUUACUCACAUCCGGGCGCCGAACCCGCGGUAGUUUCUUUAGGCUGGAGGGCGAGUAGGGUGGUAACUCAGGCAGGUAUGAGCAGCACUCUCCCGACCUACCCUCCUCCCCUUAUCCCGUUGUACAAAUGGAGAGGUAGACUUGCGGAGAGGCGACCUCUUCGUGCGGACCUGAGGGGGCAGCUGCGCCCUUGAUUUCAAGCCUCAGCUUUUUCCUGGGCAGCGCUGUGGCAGACAGAGCCGCUCCUGGAGUUCGAAGGACUUGUGUCUUACGUGGGACAGUUCCUAGCUUUGGGCAGGUUGCUUCCCGUCUCCGAGUCUCCUUUUCCUCUCUGUUUGUCUCUGAAGAUGUGGCACUUAGCAGGAUAGCCAUAUCUGAGGACCAGACCUGUGUUGAGGACCCAGAACCUUUGACCUCUCCAUCUCCACCCAGCUGAGGCCAGUCACCAUCCUCAGCAGCUGACAUCACAAGACUUGGGGACCUUGGCGAGUGGUCAAGGAAUCUUUACUGAGACGUGAAACUUUGGGGCAGAAUGCUGAGGGCCCUCAUAUCUGCCCUGGGGUGGAGGGGAGGCAUUCAGGGCUGUGCCUUCAGCUCGCAGCAACCACAUCUGACUCCCACUGGGUUGCUGAGUGCCACAGAGUUGAUCAGCCACUGGACAGCAGUCUUUGAGAAAAGGGGUAUCCCUGAGGCCCGAGAAUCCAGUGAGUACAUCGUGGCUCAUGUCCUUGGAGCCAAAACAGUUAAGUGCAGUAUUGUCCAGAGGGCAGGAUAUGCGGGGGAGGGAGGACCCUGAGGAAGAAACAUCCAGGCUUUUCUACUCCCAUGAGAGUGAUGAGCUGAGGGUGAUGGGAUUUUUCCAAAGGAAUGUCUUAGGGAGAUACUUAUUCAUACACCCAAUAAACUAUUAGAGUGUGUGCCAGAAACUAGGGGUUCAGGGGUGACUAAAGUGGUCAGUGUUGGGCCCACUGGCAUUGUCCAGAAAAGAACCUGGGUCUGGGGAGCCAACCACUCAAAUUCUCUGUGGGGCAGUUUCAGAGUCUGAGGCCAGGACUUUUGACCCAGCCCCUGACCCGCUGGCAGCUGCGGUAUAUCCAGGAGCUGAGUAGCUACCGAUUGCAAAGGAUGCCGGUGCAGUACAUCCUUGGUGAGUGGGACUUUCAUGGGCUCAGUCUGAAGAUGGUGCCCCCAGUGUUUAUCCCUCGACCAGAAACAGAGGAGCUGGUUGAAUGGGUGCUAGAGGAGGUGACCCAGAGGCCCCAUGCGGUGGGAGCCCAUGGUGGCCCCCUCAUCCUAGAGGUGGGCUGUGGAUCAGGAGCUAUCUCCCUCAGCCUGCUGAGCAAGCUCCCCGAGGCUUCAGUUACAGGACAGGAUUCGGAUCAUCCCGCUCGAUGUGACCUUAGAGCAGAACUGGGCGCACCUUCUACCCUGGGGCCCCGUGGACCUGGUCAUCAGCAACCCUCCCUACGUCUUCCACCGGGACAUGGAGCAGCUGGCCCCUGAGAUCCUCAGCUAUGAAGACCCAACCGCCCUGGAUGGUGGGGAGGAGGGCAUGGAUAUCAUUACCCACAUCCUGGCCUUGGCACCUCGACUCCUGAAGGACUCUGGAAGCAUCUUCUUAGAAGUGGACCCAAGACACCCAGAGCUCAUCGGCAGCUGGCUCCAGAGCCGACCUGACCUGUCCCUCAAUCUUGUGGCUGUGCGCAGGGACUUCUGUGGGAGGCCCCGGUUCCUACAUAUCCAGAGGUCUGAGCCAUAGCAUGGUUGUCUUGUGGAUGCCUGGCCAAGGCCCCGACCUGCCAGAGUGCCUGAAUGACACUUCUUCCUGGAAUGCUACUUGGAGGGAGGUGGAUGCUUCAGAACCCCAGAUGCUCUGUGAUUCCCCAUGCUCUACAUUUCUAGGAAACGUAGCGGUAGAUGCUAAGGUGGGGGUAUCCUUCCUGGGGGAGCCAAGUGCAAGGGCACGCACAGUCCUGCUCAGGAGCUGAGCGGACCCAGGUUCUCAGUCUGGCUCCAUCACAAUGUGUGGCCAGGGAAGGUUGCUGGGUCUCUGUGGGUGGAACUGCUCUGGGAAUAUUGAGAGAUGUGGCCAAUAAAGUGGCAAGAAAACAGUGA